UACGUAGGGGGCAAGCGUUGUCCGGAUUUAUUGGGCGUAAAGAGCGUGUAGGCGGUUAGGUAGGUCCGUUGUGAAAACUCGAGGCUCAACCUCGAGACGCCGAUGGAAACCAUCUAACUAGAGUCCGGAAGAGGAGAGUGGAAUUCCUGGUGUAGCGGUGAAAUGCGCAGACAUCAGGAAGAACACACGUGGCUAAGGCGGCUCUCUAGUACGGUACUGACGCUGAGACGCGAAAGCGUGGGGAGCGAACAGG
rnacentral:rRNA from 1 species